AUUGAACGCUGGCGGCAUGCCUUACACAUGCAAGUCGAACGGCAGCAUGAUCUAGCUUGCUAGAUUGAUGGCGAGUGGCGAACGGGUGAGUAAUACAUCGGAACGUGCCCUGUAGUGGGGGAUAACUAGUCGAAAGAUUAGCUAAUACCGCAUACGACCUGAGGGUGAAAGUGGGGGACCGCAAGGCCUCAUGCUAUAGGAGCGGCCGAUGUCUGAUUAGCUAGUUGGUGAGGUAAAGGCUCACCAAGGCGACGAUCAGUAGCUGGUCUGAGAGGACGAUCAGCCACACUGGGACUGAGACACGGCCCAGACUCCUACGGGAGGCAGCAGUGGGGAAUUUUGGACAAUGGGCGAAAGCCUGAUCCAGUAAUGCCGCGUGUGUGAAGAAGGCCUUCGGGUUGUAAAGCACUUUUGUCCGGAAAGAAAUGGCUCUGGUUAAUACCUGGGGUCGAUGACGGUACCGGAAGAAUAAGGACCGGCUAACUACGUG
rnacentral:rRNA from 1 species